GCUGUGAGUGUUUAUAGUGCUGUGAGUUGAACACUUCAUCACUGACACACACAUCAAUCUUCAUCAUCAUGACCUUCAUCAUCAUCUUCAUCUGGACUCUUUCAUUCAGCUUCAUCCUGCGAGGAUGUGCAGCUCAGAUCACAGUGACUCAAAGUCCAGUGGAACCUGUUAAACCUGGAGAAAAUGUGCAGAUGAACUGCAAACUCAGUCAACCUGCACCCUGCAGCCCAGACUCAUGUGUGUCCUGGUACUUACAGAAACCCGGAGAAGCUCCUAAACUCUUGAUUUACUAUACAAGCAGCCGUUAUUCAGGAACUGCAUCUAGAUUCAGUGGCAGUGGAUCUAAUGUUGAUUUCACUCUGAGCAUCAGUGGAGUCCAGACUGAAGAUGCUGGACAUUAUUACUGUCAGACUUACCACUGGAUCAACAGUAAAGAUGUGUUGACACAGUGAUAAAGAGUGGUACAAAAACCUCCGUCAGUCAGUCAGAGUCACAGAGACUGAACUGAUCCUGGAGCAGCUCAAACACUGAACACUACUGACACACAGAGGACAAACACACACACCAC